rnacentral:rRNA from 1 species
CCUAGGGGUGGCAGCAGUGAGGAAUAUUGGUCAAUGGGCGCGAGCCUGAACCAGCCAAGUAGCGUGAAGGAUGACUGCCCUACGGGUUGUAAACUUCUUUUAUAAAGGAAUAAAGUGAGGCACGUGUGCCUUUUUGUAUGUACUUUAUGAAUAAGGAUCGGCUAACUCCGUGCCAGCAGCCGCGGUAAUACGGAGGAUCCGAGCGUUAGCCGGAUUUGUUGGGUUUAAAGGGAGCGUAGAUGGGUUGUUAAGUCAGUUGUGAACGUUUGCGGCUCAACCGUAAAAUUGCAAUUGAUACUGGCAGUCUUGAGUACAGUUGAGGUAGGUGGAAUUCGUGGUGUAGCGGUGAAAUGCUUAGAUAUCACGAAGAACUCCGAUUGCGAAGGCAGCUUACUAAACUGCCACUGACAUUGAUGCUCGAAAGUGUGGGUAGCAAACAGGAUUAGAUACCCGAGUAGUC